rnacentral:rRNA from 1 species
ACAGCAGUCGCCGCGGUAACACGUAGGGUGCAAGCGUUAAUCGGAAUUACUGGGCGUAAAGCGUGCGCAGGCGGUUAUAUAAGACAGAUGUGAAAUCCCCGGGCUCAACCUGGGAACUGCAUUUGUGACUGUAUAGCUAGAGUACGGCAGAGGGGGAUGGAAUUCCGCGUGUAGCAGUGAAAUGCGUAGAUAUGCGGAGGAACACCGAUGGCGAAGGCAAUCCCCUGGGCCUGUACUGACGCUCAUGCACGAAAGCGUGGGGAGCAAACAGGAUUAGAUACCCCAGUAGUCCCUGUCUCUUAUAC